rnacentral:rRNA from 1 species
UACAGAGGGGGCAAGCGUUGUUCGGAAUUACUGGGCGUAAAGGGCGCGUAGGCGGCCUGCUAAGUCGAACGUGAAAUCCCCGAGCUCAACUCGGGAACUGCGUCCGAUACUGGCAGGCUUGAAUCCGGGAGAGGGAUGCGGAAUUCCUGGUGUAGCGGUGAAAUGCGCAGAUAUCAGGAGGAACACCAAUGGCGAAGGCAGCACUCUGGGACGUGACUGACGCUGAGACGCGAAAGCGUGGGGAGCAAACAGG